UGAUUUAAUUUUUUCUUUUUAAAAUUUUCUAGAAAGUUUCAUGGUUUGGUCUUUAAUAGUGUGGCCAUCUUCAAAUGCAGUAAAUCUCUAAUCCUCCUUGUAACGUUAAUGGAUGUCUUUUUGGGUGAUUUUGACAUUUCAGAUUAAGUGUCUGACAUCAUAUUGCUCUUUGUCUCUGCAUUUCAUGUGUUCUGCGCCAUUAUCUGCUGUACAGGAAAAUAAAUCUUAUUCUUUAACUAGGAUUAUAUGUUAUGGCAUGUGAACUCUGCGACAAUUGUCUAAUGUUGCGGCAUGUGAGAAGUUCGGAUUUUUUGGUAAGUUUUCUCCUUUCUUGCUCUAAUUUAUGCCCGUGACCUUGGAAUUCCUUUGAGAGUUUGUUCAUUUUUGCUUCAAUUUUAGAUUUCUUUCUCUUCUGAAUAAUUUUUUGUUAGAUUUUCUUACAUGCAUGUCAGUAAUUCUAUCUGAUCUAGCAUGUUUGAGAUAAUGUACCUGGUGCAUGUAAUUUUAUAUUAUUUUGGAUUACUGAUCGUUGAUCUCUUAUCGUCUUUAGGCACUUAUUACCAUGGCCGGAUCUACAUUAUAGAUUAUGGGUGCUUGAGCACCCAUUAUGAUGGAACCAAACACUAUUAUUUAUUAUGAAAAACAAGAAAUUUUUUACAAAUAUAUUAAUCGAGCACCCAGUCUUAGUAGCAAUUUUGAGAUUAAAAAUAAUUAAGUACCCAUGAUUUAAAAAUUCUGGAUCCGCCACUGCUUAUUACUAUCUGCAAAUUGAAAUGUUUAUGCAAAAAUCUGUAGUAUCAAGCUUUCUGUUGGAAGAUUAGGUCUUUUCCAUAGCAGCAAAGUGUUAGUUAUUGACAAUGUUGGUCUGUUUGUAAACGUACUUUCAUGGUGCUCUAUAUUUGUAAAUCUCGAUUAUUUAUAUUUAGUCACACUUUAUAUCCAAAUAAUUUUGCAUUUUACUCUUCUUUUACUUUAUUCUUCCGAUUAUUUUCAUUCCUUACUCAAGGCCAUGGAAUUUAAACUGGGCAUACUGAUGAACCCAAGGUGUUCGGUGAUAUGUCUGAAACAACUAAACUAUUUGAUUGGAAAAACGCGGUGAACAAUCAAUGUGUUGUAUUUCAACCUUUUAAAGAUGUUCCGGAUUGAACUCGUUGGUGCUCUAAUUUGGAAAGAAUUUUAGCAACACCAAAACCUACAAACAUACUUCACAAGCAAGGUAAUACCCUUAUUCACCUUACUUUUUUUUUUUUUCAAAUGCCAGUAUUCAAUUAAUCACAUAUUGUCUUGUAUUAAGAAAAACAGUUGUGACAUUGAGAGUUGCAUUAUGAAAUGCUAUAUGUGAAUCUUUUCUAUGAAAUUUAGUUAGAGUUGAACAAAGUCAGUAGAGCUUCAUGGUAGAGUUGUCAAAUUGGAUGUAGAUAUGUACAUCAUAGAGGCCAGGCGUGUUGCCUCUUGGGACAUUGUACACUCAACUAGCAGUUAAUUCUUCAAGGUAAGCUACGAAGUCAUAGUUAGAUUCAAAAUUCUAUAGUUUAAUUGCAUCUAAUUGAUGACUUACUAUCGUGUUUUCUUGAUGAGAAGAUUGGUAAUUGUUCAUGUUACAAGUAGUGCAGGGACUGCAGAAUUGGUGUAAAAUUUUUUUAAAAAAAAGGUAUGGUUGUUGCUCUUGCUCAAUAGACUGCCAAUUUUGUAAAAUUAUUUUUACCUUUGUUCUCAACGAAUAGUGCAUUUGGGGUGCUGCAAACUAUUUUCAUCUCUCUUUUGGAUUUGCUUAUUCAUGGAAAAUUACAUCUGGCUAAGAAAUCAUUUAUAAAGAAAGAGUUAUAAGUAUUUUAAUAUUAUGUUUUGUGAUUAAUACGCCAGUUAAAUCCCAAAGCAUCACCAUAUUGGAAAAUUAGUUUCUCAUUUUAAUCAUUCCUCGAAAUCAAAUUACUAUGAAGAUAGUUGAGACAUAAAUUUAGUUGAAUAAAUAAGUGAAGUGGUAAGAACUAGUAACCUUGAGAAACUAUUUUAACUUUCCUCUGGGAAUUGAACCUUUGCAAAACCUGCAAGUGAAUCUGCUCAAGGAAAUUAGUAGUUCCUUCUAUGAUUUGUCUCUACAAGAUCUUAACUUUCUUGGCUGAUUCUAAUCUUAUAAAAUAUGUUGAGCCUAUGACUUGGUAUAAAUGUGAUCAGGAGCUAUUCUUAAAGUAUUGCGUACCCGCUCUGCCAUUUGAAGUACGUCAACAAUCAAGCUAUAAAACUUAGGAUAUCAUGCUAAGAAAGUGCUACUACCUUCGAUUUUUGUUGCAUCAUAAGAGAAUCACAAAUGAUAAACUAAAUACUAACAUUGUUUUUGCUUCACUGGGCGAAUAGCUUGUAAGGAAGUUGGCUAACAAUGAUGAGAAGGGAAAUGUAGGAUUAACCAUUAGAACUAUGAUAAGAAUAGAGCCUAAUUAAAUUAGGAAUGACCAUUAGUACAUUACUAUUUAAAGUGUUGGAUUUAAUAAGGCUUAUGAACGACUUUAUAUAUAAUUUGCCUCUUCUGUCACCACUAUUUAUAUCUCUUAUGCAAUCAUUUGUUCAGGUGUAUGGAGGAUGGAGGAAUGACGACACCUUUGAUAUGCUUCACUAGGUUGGAGUAUCAAGUUUGGUGUCAUUCUUCUGCAUAGCCUCUCUAAAAUUUAUAAGUCACCCAAUUACAAUAAAGUAUGAUUAACUAAUUACGGUGAUAUCAGUCUUGAUUAAAAGAUUAUAGGUUUUAGGACUUAGGUAUUCAUAUAAACAUUUGUCCCGCUUUGGUCUUCUCAAGUUGAGGAAGAAUAUAAUAAAUGAUAAAUAAAAAUCCAUGAAUGGUUAAAAGGAGGCCAAAUUAAAGCUUUUAGUUUUUCUUUAAAGGUUGUAAGGCUAGAUAAUUGAACAGGGAACUUGUAGACCAUUUCUUUGUUAGAUUAGAGAUUUAUCUCCUGGUUCCCUUACUUAAUAAGAAUUGGUAAAAUAAAAUAAUUUCAAAGAUUCUUAAUCAUUUAUUUUAACUGAAUAUGUUGAUUUUUCUUUUGUUGUGCACAAUUGCAUAUAUAUUUUACAGCAUGAUCAAUGGUCUGUUUGUGACACUUCGUAAGAGAAAGAAUAAGAAAUAAAUUUUGCUUGCCAAACACAUUUUCUUUAAUAUGCCUUUUAGAACAAAAUUUAGGACCAAAACAAAAUUACUGGUAAUAUUGUUUACUAAUAAAAUUUAAAGGAGUAAAUCUCCCGAUCUAAUCAAGAGACGUGUUUGUAAACGAUUUACUAGCAAAAUGUUUCAUAUAGAAAGAAAAAUACAGUUCUUACAUAACUUUUAUAUGAGAUAUGUAAAAGAUAGUUUCUGUGCUUUUAAAUUAAGUGGGUAUCAUUGUGAGAACCUAUAAAAGAAAAGUGAUCAUUCAAUUUGAGAUGGGAAAAGUAAAUGUUUUCGCCAAAAAAAUAAUUGUGGCAGAAUUUUUUAGUCUAUAUCUAAAAUACAAUUUUGAAAGUAUUUGUGUACCCUUUUCAUGUACUUUUUGACUGAUCAGAAAUUUGAGUGUUGGGAAUCAACUGCUAAAUAUUAUACUUCAAAUUUUCAAAUUGCCACAAAACAAUUGGAUAUUUGAGAGUGCUUCUCUACUAUCCUUGGUUCUUCUCGUGUAUCUAUAUUUACAUAGAUGAUUGGUGUUUCCUUGUCUUUUGAAGGUGAUAAACUUCUCCUAUGUUCUGUUCAUCACUGUGCUGCUGUUUCGAGUAUAACAAGAGUAACUUCUGAGCUAGCCAAUGUAGCUGAUACUUAAAAGGGAAUAAUGGGUCAGAAUGUGCUUUUAGAGACUCAUUUGUUCUAUUAUGUGGGUGCUGCAUCAAUAAUAUACCUGGUUAUAAUAGGUACAAAUAGCAGUAUACUAGAGUGUUUUUACGUCCUCUUUUACUAUGUUGUACCACCCUACUAUUUAUGAUUGUCUUUUUAAUUUCUAAGGAUGGUGCUCUAUUCUAUUGGCACUGGAACACCUGGAAAAAAAAAUUCACAAUACGUAACACGGGGCAUAAUAUACUACUUUAGAUUUCCAAGUACUGACAUA